AAGAGCCGAUGAAGGACG
rnacentral:rRNA from 1 species